CCUCCUUUCUAAGGAAACCAAUAAAAUCAAUCAUCUUCAGUUUUGAAAGACUUAGGAUAACUAAGUUUUUCUUCGUGACUUCACGAAGGGCCUAUAGCUCAGUUGGUUAGAGCACACGCCUGAUAAGCGUGAGGUCGGUGGUUCAAGUCCAUUUAGGCCCACCAGAGUUAUAGGUGUCGUAAGAACACAAAUUCUUUGAAAAUUAGGUAAAUAAUAGUUAUUUUUCCGGAACAUUAAAGG
rnacentral:tRNA from 1 species